UACGUAGGGGGCGAGCGUUGUCCGGAUUCAUUGGGCGUAAAGAGCUCGUAGGCGGCUUGAUAAGUCGGGUGUGAAACCUCCAGGCUCAACCUGGAGUCGCCACUCGAUACUGUCAUGGCUAGAGUCCGGUAGGGGACCACGGAAUUCCUGGUGUAGCGGUGAAAUGCGCAGAUAUCAGGAGGAACACCGGUGGCGAAGGCGGUUCUCUGGGCCUUACCUGACGCUGAGGAGCGAAAGCAUGGGGAGCAAACAGG
rnacentral:rRNA from 1 species